rnacentral:rRNA from 1 species
UACGGGGGGGGUAAGCGUUGUUCGGAAUUACUGGGCGUAAAGGGCUCGUAGGCGGCCAACUAAGUCAUACGUGAAAUCCCUCAGCUUAACUGGGGAACUGCGUGUGAUACUGGAUGGCUUGGAUUUGGGAGAGGGAUGCGGAAUUCCAGGUGUAGCGGUGAAAUGCGUAGAUAUCUGGAGGAACACCGGUGGCGAAGGCAGCAUCCUGGACCAAUAUUGACGCUGAGGAGCGAAAGCCAGGGGAGCAAACGGG